AACGUAGGAGGCGAGCGUUAUCCGGAUUUACUGGGCGUAAAGCGCGCGCAGGCGGCUUGGCAAGUCGGACGUGAAAGCUCCUGGCUUAACUGGGAGAGGUCGUUCGAAACUGUUGGGCUUGAGGUUGGGAGAGGGGUGUGGAAUUCCCGGUGUAGUGGUGGAAUGCGUAGAUAUCGGGAGGAACACCAGUGGCGAAAGCGGCACCCUGGCCCACACCUGACGCUGAGGUGCGAAAGCGUGGGGAGCAAACAGG
rnacentral:rRNA from 1 species